AUUGAACGCUGGCGGCAGGCCUAACACAUGCAAGUCGAACGAGUGGCGGACGGGUGAGUAAUGUCUGGGAAACUGGCCGAUGGAGGGGGAUAACUACUGGAAACGGUAGCUAAUACCGCAUACCAUCGGAUGUGCCCAGGUGGGAUUAGGUAGUUGGUGGGGUAACGGCUCACCAAGGCGACGAUCCCUAGCUGGUCUGAGAGGAUGACCAGCCACACUGGAACUGAGACACGGCCCAGACUCCUACGGGAGGCAGCAGUGGGGAAUAUGGCGCAAUGGGUGCAACCCUGAUGCAGCCAUGCCGCGUGUAUGAAGAAGGCCUUCGGGUUGUAAAGUACUUUCAGCGGGGAGGCGUUACCCGCAGAAGAAGCAUCGGCUAACUCCGUGCCAGCAGCCGCGGUAAUUC
rnacentral:rRNA from 1 species